CAAGUCGAACGCUGUAGCAAUACAGAGUGGCGCACGGGUGAGUAACAUGUGGGAAUAUGCCUUUUGGUACGGAACAACUUUUGGAAACGAAAGCUAAUACCGUAUGGUCCCUUCGGGGUAAAGAUUUAUCGCCAAAAGAGUAGCCCGCACUAGAUUAGCUAGUUGGUGAGGUAAUGGCUCACCAAGGCGACGAUCUAUAGCUGGUCUGAGAGGACGAUCAGCCACACUGGGACUGAGACACGGCCCAGACUCCUACGGGAGGCAGCAGUUAGGAAUCUUGGACAAUGGGCGCAAGCCUGAUCCAGCCAUGCCGCGUGAGUGAUGAAGGCCUUCGGGUUGUAAAGCUCUUUAGCCGAUGAAUAUAAUGACUGUAGUCGGAGAAUAAGCCCCGGCUAACUUCGUGCCAGCAGCCGCGGUAAUACGAAGGGGGCGAGCGUUGUUCGGAAUCACUGGGCGUAAAGAGUGCGUAGGCGGUUAUGAAAGUUAGAAGUGAAAGCCCAAGGCUUAACCUUGGAAUUGCUUUUAAAACUACAUAACUAGAAUCUCGGAGAGGAUAGCGGAAUUGUCAGUGUAGCAGUGAAAUGCGUAGAUAUUGACAGGAACACCAGUGGCGUAAGCGGCUAUCUGGACGAGUAUUGACGCUGAGGCACGAAAGCGUGGGGAUCAAACAGGAUUAGAUACCCUGGUAGUCCACGCCGUAAACGAUGUGUGUUUGUCGCUGGGAGGUUCACCUCUCGGUGACGGAGCUAACGCGUUAAGCACACCGCCUGGGAAGUACGGUCGCAAGAUUAAAACUCAAAGGAAUUGACGGGGACCCGCACAAGCGGUGGAGUAUGUGGUUUAAUUCGUC
rnacentral:rRNA from 1 species